UGAACUACUUAGUGCUGCUGAAUGUCACCCUGGGCAGCACAGGGAUGUACAGCUGUGGAUACCAGCACCGCACUGAGAGCAACUGGGUGAGGAAUUCUGCCCUCAGCACUCCCCAGAACCUGACUGUCAGAGGCACAGAGUCCAGCUCCCACGCAGCACCAUCGACCACAGGUCCCCAGCACCAGAUCCACCACUUCCACACAGGCAUCGUGCUGGGAGUGGCAGCUGUCUCCAUCCUCCUCCUUGCUGCAGCCAGC